AGCGAACGCUGGCGGCAGGCCUAACACAUGCAAGUCGAACGGAUCCUUCGGGAUUAGUGGCGGACGGGUGAGUAACACGUGGGAACGUGCCCUUUGGUUCGGAACAACCCAGGGAAACUUGAGCUAAUACCGGAUGUGCCCUUCGGGGGAAAGAUUUAUCGCCAUUGGAGCGGCCCGCGUCUGAUUAGCUAGUUGGUGAGGUAACGGCCCACCAAGGCGACGAUCAGUAGCUGGUCUGAGAGGAUGAUCAGCCACACUGGGACUGAGACACGGCCCAGACUCCUACGGGAGGCAGCAGUGGGGAAUCUUGCGCAAUGGGCGAAAGCCUGACGCAGCCAUGCCGCGUGAAUGAUGAAGGUCUUAGGAUUGUAAAAUUCUUUCAGCGGGGACGAUAAUGACGGUACCCGCAGAAGAAGCUCCGGCUAACUUCGU
rnacentral:rRNA from 1 species